UCCCUGAUAGCUCAGUUGGUAAAAAAUCUGCCUGCAAUGCAGGAGACCCCAGUUUGAUUUCUGGGUCAGGAAG
rnacentral:tRNA from 2 species